UCACUCAAAAACUGACAUUUCUCAGGUGUCAUCCCAGCUCACAGUCACUCAGGUGCCGUAAAGAGACAUCACCCCAUUAAGUCAUCAUUCACAUUUAAUUUCAUUAAUGUUUAGCUAAAAGCACAGAACAGAAAUCAAUAACACUUGAGCUGAGGUGUCCAGAUUACCUGAAUUCACCCAAUUACUAUAUCAAAAUUCCAUUAGUUUUAGAUUGAUAACAAUAUAUAAAGAGAAUAAAAAAGCAACCUUUGCUAAUACUAUCAACAUUGUUUUUUUCUGUAUUUGUUCUUUAACAAGAGAUAUUUGUUUGAUCACUUUUGACAAGACUGAGAAAUCCCAGGAAAGAGGAAUCAGUAAAGAAGCCCAGGCUGAGACUCAAACCCAAGACACAGGUGAACCACCUGUUGACGGGACACCUGCUCCACCUACUGAGCUAAACAGCUUUCAACAGUUCUGUAUUUCUCUGGUUGGAUCCAAGUAAACAAAGCAAAAUAAGUCCCGCCCACAGAUGUUCUGACGAAUGCAGGUGGUGCGUGCCAAAAGGGGCGGUCCGCUCAUUUUCCCGCGUGAAAUUACUGCAUUUCCCUCCAAAACUAAAGAUGCCUAUAAUAAUGGCUGCGGGAGCUUCACUCUGGUCGGAGCGGCUCUUCUCUGAGGACACGAACACGGUGAACAGUGGACUUGUCUUCAGCUUCAGGUGGAACAGCUCUGACCUGUAUGGUGAUCAGACCCGGAGAGGAGAGACACCUGGUCCAACAAGAACGAGAGCAGCCAGGAGCAGAAAGUGUGGGCAGAGGAACAGGCUGCUGAGGACGAGCUGGACGACAGUUUCCUGAACUGAAUCCUGAUUUCCUGUAAUCAAGUUUUGUGGACUGACGUGUUGUCUGGUUGGUGCUCGGCCCAGGACAGGAAGGCUCUGCAGCAGGUGAUCCAUCCAUCCACAGAGCAUCAGUGACGGAGGAGAAGUGAGCUGCCUGAGUUGACAAAGUUGACGCUCUCCUCAAUGUCUUUUCUAAACAAGUCUGACAGGUUUUUAGAGCAGAAAAAAUGACCAUAACAUCAUCAAAAUUCUGAGUAACAAAGUCCAAAGUCCAUGUACCACUCCUGCACUUGAAGCUCUGCAUGGCCCUUAAGAAAGUCCAACAUUUCUUUAGAUGCGGAUGUUUUGAUGUCAGCCAGCAUAAUCCUCGUGGUCUCAUCGGGGGAUCCAGACUUCCACAUUUUCCACCUUCCUGCCUUCAUCCUUUGAAGAAAGCCUUCAACCUGUUUUUUCGAACAGCAUCGUUGGUAAACGGCUUCUGUGUCUGAGUUGCGUCCUGUGUUUUUGUUGCAGCCACGGUGACCGUUGCUGUAUUCCGAUCGAUCAUCAUGUUGUCUUCUGUGAAUUCCUUGGCAAAGUUUCCACGUACUGAGAUGAGUUUUAACACUUGCAGCAAUCAAUUCCUCAACUGGAUGGAUGUGUGUUUAUGUUGGCUCCAGGCACUUAUACACUGACUGCACAAUGGAACAGUCAUACAUCAAAACCAUAAAAAACUUUGGUCGGAUAUCAAAGACUUUCUGUUUACGCUCUGUCCCAGCGACAGUACAUUGGAAUUUUUGAUUGAUUAUUAAACAUUUUACACAUAAAAGUAUUAAAGAAAAUGAGUUUCCCCCUAAACUGGCAAUUAUUAAUUAUGUAAUGACGUUAAAAUGAGUGUUUAUGGGUGGAACUUCAACAUGUUGGCGUGCGUGUUGUGGCUGGUGUGAUCCCAUCAGACUACAGUUAAUUAUUCUCAUAAUAUCAGAACUAGAGUCAUUAUUUAGUGGUGUAAGAGGGGAUUUGAUGGAUGCUGCUGCUGCUGCUGCUGCUGCGUCCCCUACAGGCAGGUUGGUUCAGAGCCAAAAACUCAGUCACCUUCAGGCACAAAGCUGCAGAAUGACAGAUUUUCUAUGUAAACACACAUUUUAUCAGCAAAAGGUUACAGGAGUGACAUGAAUUUCAUCAGCUAAAAAUGAGAUGCUGCAGAAUCACUCUGGAUUCAGUGAAGGACUACCAGAUCUGAAGCAGGAUCAAUGCCUUAUUAUUUAUUAGAUGAAUAAAUCCUUUAUGCACAAAUUAAAAGAUAACUAUGCUUUUGUGGUGAGAACUGUUAAUGAGUAAUAAGUCCUUUAAAAUAUCUUAUUAUCUAACAAUAAACAUGUUGAAUACUCUAUUAUUGAAGCUUGUAUAGUCUGAUAAAUGUUGAUGAGCAUCUCAUAAGGUCUUACAUGACAUCUUAUUUAAAGAGUAAGUACUGUUUGGGGACUUUUAAAGGAGGAUAAUACAAAUUGGGGAAGUUUCUGAACUUACAGCCUCCAAAUACACGUGACUGCUUCACCUUUGACCUUUAAUAUGACUUUAUUCCUCCAGGCAGGCCACAGCCAGACAGUUUCACAUUCACUAUAACAGUCAUGGAAAUAGAGAAACUAUGUUCAGCCACACAAAUACAACUUUGUCCAUUAUGAAUAAACAAGAAACCAAACAGGAAGUCGGUAAGUGAAAAGGACAGACAUGGUUUACAGGUCAAAAGGGCAUCAAAGAGUAAAUAUAUAAAUAUAUACAGGAAACGCGCUGGAUGCAGCAAAGUAAACACGACAGGAGAGGAAAGCUGGAAAAGAGCAAGUGUGCUCAGCAGAACAUCUCCCAGGAUAAAUAAAGACUGGAAAUAAACCUGGAGAAUGUACACAAGGAAACAGCCACUUCAGCACAUUCACAGAAUAUUGAUCUGAGUUUGCAGCGUGACGAGAAAAGGACGCUGAUACAAAGAGAGUCUACAGAUUUGCUUCAACAGCAGGAUGAAAUGAGACCGCUCACACACACACACACACACACAGAAACAUUUUCAUCACGACGUCUUCAUUCAAAGAGCCCAAUAUCAAUGUGUUUUGUAUCAUUUUGAAGAAAUGCUUGAUUUGUGGGGAAAAAAACACAUUUUUGUCCUCUUAAAGUUGAACUGAUUUAACAAUAUAUGCCAAAGGGCAGCAGACAUAAUAUAGGUGUAUCUUCAAACUUAUUUCUCUAUUAUAAACUUUGAUCGCUAUUAAUUUUGAUUAACCUGUUGUUAUAUAUCAGUAAAGACACUGAUCCACUCUAAGUAUUUUGGAGCUGUUAUCAGUUUUUUAUCCUCGAAUCUUUAGCAGCUCAUUACGUUCUUUGUUUUCUGAAUACUUACUAUCCACAUAUAUAAAAUGUGGUUAAAUUCUGCCAAUGAGGAGAGAAAAACUCAGAAGCACAUGUGGAUGUAGAAGAAUUCAAAUACCAUGAAAAUUUGUAAGAAAUCUGUGCAGAAUGUCAGAUUUAGUUUUUACCCUUUGCCAUUUCUUGAAUUCUAAAGCCCGGUACAGGAGGACUAAAAUAACCUCUGUCAUGUGGAUUACAGCUGAUUUAUUCUUGAGCAGGAUCAGAACUGUGUGUGUGACAUUAACUGGACCAUUAAUGUAGAUCUUUAUAUUUCAGUUAUGUUUGUUAUUGGUAUAUUAAUUGUGUAUUUAUGUAAUGCUGUGCUGUGUAUGGUGUGAACAUGUAAUUAUUCCAUUUCUGUUGUUUGAUCUCCUUUUGAUAUAAAAUAAAUGCUGGUGUUAGUUUUAUGCUGUUA